UGUCCAUUCUCAGAUGUCGAAGCCUCCCUGAACUCACCGUCGAGGGCUUCUGCGCCGCAUGACCAGAAACGUAGAGGCCGAGCGCCCGGACAGAAGACGCAGCCACGGAAUAAAAAGUGUUGUUGACCGCCGACCGGCGCUGGGAGGGAAAAGGAGGGUGGACCCUCCUCUCAGGGCCGGAUUCAGAGGGACACACAGACUUCCAGAGGAGAGGAAUUACCCCCCCGGGUGUUUCUGACAUUGUUUGAUUGUUUCCUGUGGAGAGAAAUGCCAUCGUUUGACUCGAGUCCUGCAGAAACCGGCGGCCUCAGAUUGAGUUCAGAUCCGCAGCGGUCCAGUUCCCUGCUUUCUUUGCAAAUGAAAUCCAGGCCCCGUGCCAAGGUGCACCAACCGGGGACAUCAGAUCAAAGCGCUCGUAAGAAAACUGCUUUAAUCAAGAAUUUUUGAGGCCACCUCGAGCCUCGGGGACUCCUUUGAAUCAUUAACAUCUUUCGCCCGGUUGUGGAAUGUUUCUCAGACUCGUCUGAGCUGGUUUUGAUCCGUCGUGGGGGGAAAGUUGCCACCAGCGGCCCCGCCUGCCCGAGGAGAUGAGUCAGAGAUCUUGUUUGUGUGUCGACCCUCGGAGCUUCCGUCUGUGCGGUUCUUUUCAGGGCUCUGCAGCUACGAUGCCGCGGUCGAGACUCAGACACGCGGCGUCCUUUCAGCAGCGGGAAAAUAACCACAACUGAAGGGUCGUAACGAGGAGUGAUGGAGACAAAAAGCUCUCAAGUCUCUUUUGUGUCUUUCCGUCUCAUCACUUUGUCGUUUCUCACAAGCCCUGCAGACGCUUCGGGCGCUUGAGGACUGUAGCAGCCAUGUUGGAAUGGCGCCACUUCCUCCUAAGUGUCAGUAGUUGUAUUUUCCCGCCUCUGCCGCCGGCGAUGUCGCUGUGUUUGGAAGGAACAGUGGUUUUGGAGGGACUUGGGGUUUCAGCGACGCCGUUCUCCUGACGAUCGCCGCCCUCUGCACAUGCGGCCCUUCGCUGUAACUGUGCUGCCGCGUCAAGCACGAGCUGGUCAUCGACAGCCGCUGGCUCUCGCCGCUGGGGUCUGUGUUCACAUUAGCCGCCCCGCUGACGCCUGGGGGGCCGUUGCUGCUGCUGUUGGUGUUCAUCCUGGCUAGAAAGUGCGCGUGCUGCACCCCCCGUUGGUUGAAGCUGUGGUGGCGCGGCACGGCGCCGCUCCCGCUGCCCAUCUUGAUGAGCGAGUGCCGCUGGGAGUGGUGACGUGCCACCGAGACGCCGCCUCCUCCGGGUCUCUCCGGAAUCACCUGCUGCUGGAGUGGAGUUGAAGCGGAGGAAGAGGAGGAAGAAGGGAUGGAGGUCGAAGAGGUGGGGUUGUUGGACGAUGAGGAGGAGGAAGAAGAAGAAGUGGCAGAGGACGAGGUGGAGUUUUGAACAGGUACGUCCAGGCGCUUGGGAAGGCCGUCCCUCGGCAACGUGGAGGUGCUGUAAUACGAAGCUGACUCCGUCUCUGGGAUUUGCUGCUGAUGGUGGUGACCGCCGCUGCUGUUAUUGUUGUGGUGGUUACUAUGGUGAUGGUUGUGGUUGUAGUGGUGGGUGCGGGUCUGGCUGUGGUGAUUAUGAUGGUGAUGGUGAUGAUGAUUAUGUCCUCCGGAGGAGGAUGAGGAGGGCCCGGGGAACAGGGAGGACGAGGAGGUGGAGGUGAGGACCUUAAUGCCUCCGGUCCCAGACGCGCUCACCUCAUGGAUGUGUUUGAGAAGCUCGUCCAGCGCCGACACAUCCACCACCGUUUGGGGGAGGGACUGCUGGGAGUGGUGGUGAUGGGGGACUCCCGCGCUGCCGCCGCCGCCCGCUGCCGCCACCCCUCGCUCAUCAUUUGAGACCUUCGUCUCCUCGGGGAGGUGCAGCGAAGUCGAAGAAGCGCCCGCUCCGUGGGCCGCUCCAUUGCUGAAGCUGUUGCCGUGGUGAUGAGAGAAGGGAAACACCUGCUGGGUCAAAGAGUUCCCAACAACCGCCAUGAAACCCAGACUGGAUCCAGAGCAGCUGGGACCAGACUGGGGGUUGUUGUCCUUGGCGUUGUUGCAGUUCUGGUUCUUCUCAUACUGACGGUGCCUCAGGGCCUUCAUGUUCUUGAUGGGAAGCUCCGGGGUGGAGUCAGGUGUGGGCAGGCCGGACAGCUCUCCAUCCCCCUGAGACAGAGACUAAACAGAGGUUAGACCCAUGGUUUUCACAUAUUUCAUCAUGUCUUUUUUUGUCUGACCAACAGUCCAAAACCCAAAGAUACAGAGAAACAACAAAUCCUCACGUUUAACAGUCAAAACAAACAAGUAAAGUUCAGUAAGUGUGUUUUCUAAUUAAAGGAGCAGAGUCAGUGGCGUGCACAGACUUUUUGAAGGGCAGGGGCGAAAAGGACUUCACUUUAGCACGCGUUUUGGUGUCCAAGAGGGCACUUUAGUACGCGUUUUUCAACAUUUGGGCCAUGGGGGGGGGCGGUCGCCUCCCCUGUGCAUGCCACUGAGCAGAGUGUAGAAUCUAUUGGCAGAAUGGAAUAUAAAGGUUGUGUUUUCAUUAGUGUAGAAUCACCUGAGAUAAGAAUCAUUGUGUUUGUUAGCUUAGAUCGAGCUCUUUAUUUCUACAGAGGGAGCAGAUCCUCUUCCAGAGUCCGCCAUACUGCACAGCCGUGUUUCUACAGCAACCCAGAAAGGACAAACCAAUACUGACUGGGGGAGGGACUUUCCUGUUUUCAGUGGCCACCGUAGCUUCUCAAACAUGUGUGGUAAAGGAGGGGUGAGACGAGGUGUAUUCAGCUCAAUCUGCAACCUCACCACUAGAUGGCACCGAAUCCAGCACACUGAAAGCUUCAGAACUGAGCAGAACAGAUUCGUAACGUCUUUAACUUCAAACGUGGAGUUCUUCCUGCAGUGACCUUCAUAGUAAUGUUAUUGUUCCUGAGCGUUUCUCUUAGCAAACACUCUUUUUACUCUAAAAGCUCUUUUUAAAUAGAAAAGAUUAAAAUUCAGAGGUAAUGAUAAUUUAUCUUUUUUCUUCUUCUUUUGGGGAAAUGUGCAGUUUACAGCCUGCACAUCAUGUGAGAUCAGUCCUUUUUUUAAAGGGAUGGUUUGAAGUUUGCAGGAGGACCGUGUAGGAAGCUCAGCGAUGUACCGCUGUGGACAGAGUCAGCAGCAAAACCUCCUUUAUCCACCUAAACACAACAUCGGUUCAAGAGGACGCUGUAUUUAGACUAUUUUCGGUGCUUUAUGUUGCUGUCAGACAGCUUUUUCUUUGGCUCGACAUUUUCUCAACUGUAGAACUUCUGCAUAAGUACGACUGACCCUCACGUUGUAACGUAUUACACCACAGGGUCGGACUUUCAGCAGCUGGCAGAAGAGACAACAAAUACACGAAAAUAAAAGAUUAUGACAGUAAUGUCAAAAAUAAGAAACUGAAAGAGCGAGAGGAAACUUCAGGAAGCUGCAUUUCUUCAGUGUCCUUCCGGUUUGUUUGGCGGUGGUCUGGACCAGUACCUGGAGUGUUUAUGGUGGAUUUUACUGGGUUUUUAUUAUAUCCCUAACUAUCCCUUAAAGACACAACGGAUCACAUCUCACCUCACAGCCCGGGAUCUUUUUGGGAGGAAUACUUCACUGAUGUAUUGCUGCAGUUUCAUGAAGUUUGGGAUUUGUGAUUGAUUAAAAGCAGGAUGGUUCAGCCCUGGUGGACACCACACCUCCAGGCUGACCUCCUGACAAGCCCUUCAGUUUAAACAGAUGAAUGAAACAACAGUUCUCAGCUCUGGCCUACCUGGGACAGGCUGAGGUCGGGGUCUCCCAGCGGCAGGCCCUGGUGUCCGGGGGUGUGAAGGUGAGGCUCCGACCGGCCGUUGGGGAUGAAGGAGCUGUACAUCUUUGGGGUGGACAUGUCCAGUUUGUCCUCCUGAAGGCAGACAAAGUGAAAGAAGAUGAAGAGGAAUAAGAGCUCUGAUAGAAUGAAAAGAAGAACAUAUGGACACACAUCGGAGCUGUGAGGAGAGAAGAAUCGCAUCUAGACGGUUUAAUGAUGUUUCACCACAGGGGUCAAAGGUCAGCGGGACGCCUGAAACAGGCUGGAGUUCAUCGUGACACACUGGAUCGUGAAGCUGUUAGCUGUUAGCUGUGUCCCCCUGCGAGAAGAUGAAUAUUAACGCUGCUGCUUCUCGGCUCCUGACCAAUCUGCUGCUGGCGUCUGUAUAUUUUAUUGUCCACUGGUAUAUCUUAUUCUGUUGCACAUUUCACUUCCAUAUUUUAUUGUUUAGUAUAUUUUCAUUCUGCUAUAUUUUUAAUUGCU